rnacentral:rRNA from 1 species
AUUGAACGCUGGCGGCAGGCCUAACACAUGCAAGUCGAACGAGCGGCGGACGGGUGAGUAAUGUCUGGGAAACUGCCUGAUGGAGGGGGAUAACUACUGGAAACGGUAGCUAAUACCGCAUACCAUCAGAUGUGCCAAGAUGGGAUUAGCUGGUUGGUUGGGUAAGGGCGCACCUAGGCGACGAUCCCUAGCUGGUCGGAGAGGAUGACCAGCCACACUGGAACUGAGACACGGUCCAGACUCCUACGUGAGGCAGCAGUGGGGAAUAUUGCACAAUGGGCGCAAGCCUGAUGCAGCCAUGCCGCGUGUGUGAAGAAGGCCUGCGGGUUGUAAAGUACUUUCAGCGGGGAGGCGUUACCCGCAGAAGAAGCACCGGCUAACUCCGUGCCAGCAGCCGCGGUAAUUC